rnacentral:rRNA from 1 species
CAGCCCUAAACGAUGCGCGUUAGGUGUAUCGGUGACCACGAGUCACCGAGGUGCCGAAGGGAAACCGUGAAACGUGCCGCCUGGGAAGUACGGUCGCAAGGCUGAAACUUAAAGGAAUUGGCGGGGGAGGCACCACAACGGGUGGAGCCUGCGGUUUAAUUGGACUCAACGCCGGGAAGCUCACCGGAUAAGACAGCGGAAUGAUUGCCGGGCUGAAGACCCUGCAUGACCAGCUGAGAGGUGGUGCAUGGCGUGUGACUGU